GACGAACGCUGGCGGCGUGCCUAAUACAUGCAAGUCGAACGCAGUGGGGACGGGUGAGUAACACGUGGGUAACCUCCCAUCAGAGGGGAUAACACUUGGAAACAGGUGCUAAAACGAUACUGAUGGAUGAACCCGCGGUGCAUUGGCUAGUUGGUGAGGUAACGGCUCACCAAGGCCACGAUGCAUAGCCGACCUGAGAGGGGGAUCGGCCACACUGGAACGGAGACACGGCCAAUACUCCUACGGAGGGCAGCAGUAGGGAAUCUUCGGAAAGGGACGAAGGUCUUACCGAGCAAGGCCGCGUGAGGGAAGAAGGUUUUGGGAUCGUAAAACUCUGUUGUUGGGGAAACGGUAUCUAACCAGAAAGCCACGGCUAACUACGUGCCAGCAGCCGCGGUAAUUC
rnacentral:rRNA from 1 species